rnacentral:rRNA from 1 species
UCCGGUUGAUCCUGCCAGAGGCCACUGCUAUUGGAAUGCGACUAAGCCAUGCGAGUCAAGGGGCUCUUCGGAGCACCGGCGUACGGCUCAGUAACAUGUGGGUAACCUACCCUCAGGUGGGGGAUAACCUCGGGAAACUGAGGCUAAUACCCCAUAGAUAAAAGAUACUGGAAUGUUCUUUUAUCAAAAGCUCCGGCGCCUGAGGAUGGGCCUGCAUCCGAUUAGGUAGUUGGUGAGGUAACGGCUCACCAAGCCUGCGAUCGGUACGGGUCGUGAGAGCGAUAGCCGGAGAUGGGGACUKAGACAAGGCCCCAGGCCCUACGGGGCGCAGAGGCGCGAAACCUCUGCAAUGUGCGAAAGCAUGACAGGGGCAUUCCAAGUGCUCUUGUUUUACAAGAGCUUUUCUCCGGUCCAAGACGCCGGAGGAAUAAGGGCUGGGUAAGACCSGUGCCAGCCGCCGCGGUAACAMCGGCAGCUCGAGUGGUGGCCGCUAUUAUUUGGCCUAAAGCGUUCGUAGCCGGGCAGGUAAGUGUUCUGGUAAACCCCAUAACUUAAUUAUKGGGCUUCAGAAUAUACUGCCUGCCUUGAGACCGGGAGAGGCUGGAGGUACUUUCGGGGUAGGGGUAAAAUCCUAUAAUCCCGAAGGGACCACCGGUGGCGAAGGCGUCCAGCCAGAACGGGUCUGACGGUGAGGGACGAAACCCAGGGGAGCGAGCCGGAUUAGAUACCCGGGUAGYCCUGGGCGUAAAUGAUGUGGGCUAGGUGCAAGGCUACCUAUGAGGUAGCCUGGUGCCGAUGGGAAGCCGUUAAGCCCACCGCCUGGGGAGUACGGCCGCAAGGCUGAAACUUAAAGRAAUUGGCGAGUGAGCACCACAAGGGGUGGAGGCUGCGGUUUAAUUGGAUUCAACGCCGGGAAACUCACCGGGGGCGACAGCAGAAUGAAGGUCAGGCUGAUGACCUUACCAGACAAGCUGAGAGGAGGUGCAUGGCCGUCGUCAGCUCGUACCGUGAGSCGUCCUGUUAAGUCAGGUAACGAGCGAGACCCUCGCCCACAGUUGCCAGCAGAUCCUUUGGGAUGCUGGGGACUCCGUGGGGACCGCUGGUGCUAAACCAGAGGAAGGAGAGGGCGACGGUAGGUCAGUAUGCCCCAAAUCUCCCGGGCUACACGCGGCCUACAAUGGGCGAAACAAUGGGUUUCGACCCCGAAAGGGGAAGGUAAUCCCCUAAAUUCGCUCUAAGUCCGGAUCGAGGGCUGCAACUCGCCCUCGUGAAGCUGAAAUCCCUAGUAAUCGCGUGUCAUCAUCGCGCGAUGAAUGUGUCCCUGCUCGUUGCACACACCGCCCGUCAAGCCACCUGAGUGAGGUUCAGACGAGGCCUUGUCCAGUGGGCAAGGUCGAAUCUGACUUCGCAAGGGGGGCUAAGYCGUAACAAGGUAGCC